rnacentral:circRNA from 1 species
CACCUGCUCUUGUGACCACACAGGCGAUGAGCUGGAGAUGAUCCGGCCCAGCGUCUACCGCAACGUGGCGCGUCAGCUGCACAUCUCCCUGCAGUCUGAGCCUGUGGUGACCGAUGCGUUCCUGGCCGUGGCUGGCCACAUCUUCUCUGCAGGCAUCACGUGGGGCAAGGUGGUGUCCCUGUAUGCGGUGGCCGCGGGGCUGGCCGUGGACUGUGUGAGGCAGGCCCAGCCUGCCAUGGUCCACGCCCUCGUGGACUGCCUGGGGGAGUUCGUGCGCAAGACCCUGGCAACCUGGCUGCGGAGACGCGGCGGAUGGACUGAUGUCCUCAAGUGUGUGGUCAGCACAGACCCUGGCCUCCGCUCCCACUGGCUGGUGGCUGCACUCUGCAGCUUCGGCCGCUUCCUGAAGGCUGCCUUCUUCGUGCUGCUGCCAGAGAGAUGAGCUGCCCACCUGGCAGUGGCCGCAGCCUGGCCCUCUGGGCCCAACGCAGGAGGCCCUCAGCACCCGAACACAUCUUCCUCCUCCCCACCCGAGCCUGGAGCACUCUAACCCUCGGAGACCCCCUAAGCCCCGUUCCUCCGCAGACCCAGGCCCUCCGGAAGGGGUGAGUGGGGAGGGGCUUUCCUGAGCCUGGAGCUGGGCUUUGGGGCAGCCUGCGACCCUCCCCGCUUGUGUCCCUUCUCCUGUGAUCUCUGUGUUUUCCCUUUUCUUUCUGGGGCCAGGAAGUCAGGGUCAACUCCCAGGCCUCAGAUGCAGGGGCCCAGAA